AGUGAACGCUGGCGGUAGGCCUAACACAUGCAAGUCGAACGGCAGCACAGUAAGGGCUUGCUCUUACGGGUGGCGAGUGGCGGACGGGUGAGGAAUACAUCGGAAUCUACUUUUUCGUGGGGGAUAACGUAGGGAAACUUACGCCAAUACCGCAUACGACCUACGGGUGAAAGCAGGGGAUCUUCGGACCUUGCGCGAUUGAAUGAGCCGAUGUCGGAUUAGCUAGUUGGCGGGGUAAAGGCCCACCAAGGCGACGAUCCGUAGCUGGUCUGAGAGGAUGAUCAGCCACACUGGAACUGAGACACGGUCCAGACUCCUACGGGAGGCAGCAGUGGGGAAUAUUGGACAAUGGGCGCAAGCCUGAUCCAGCCAUACCGCGUGGGUGAAGAAGGCCUUCGGGUUGUAAAGCCCUUUUGUUGGGAAAGAAAAGCAGCAGGUUAAUACCCCGCUGUUCUGACGGUACCCAAAGAAUAAGCACCGGCUAACUUCGUG
rnacentral:rRNA from 1 species